rnacentral:other from 1 species
AGCUCCCUGGGGCUAUUGGUUGUCUGGUUACGUCCCUUGAGCCGAUAAUCACACCUUAGGAAGUCUUUCGUAUAGAUGAUGCGCAUGUCCGCCAGUCGGAAAGCCUAAUUCUAUACAGAGGCUACCACCUUGAACCUUCGGGUUCAGGGCCAGAACCAGCGCCGCAGCCUUGGGGAGUCA